AGAUGUUAAAAGCAAGAGACAUGGGAGAGCAUCAUUCCCUUGAGAUUUUAUAACUCAAACCAACUUUGGAGUUGUCUGAUUUGGAGAGUCAUUAUUCUUGGUCUUCGCUCUUAGAGAUUUUGUAUGAGUCUGGAAAAACAUGAGGAGAGUAAAUUAUAAACAUUUUAAUUAUUUGGUGAACUAACGGUUUGAAGAGCAGCCCUCCAUGUACGUGAAUAUUGUGAGGCCACUGAUGAAGAGCAGGCGGUGACUGGGAUGAAUGCUGGUCAGAGAGGAGAAUCUUCUUUCCGCCUAAACUGAUGCAGCGGUGGUUUUAAAGGAGGACGCUGCCCUGGAUGAUGUAGAAGAUGUCAGAUGCUGUGCUGAUGGGGUUUCUUCAUGAUUACAUCAGUUAUGCUAAAGAGAUCAUGAAAAUUGACCGUGAUGCAUGAUCUGUAUUCAUGGACUUUGAAACAAACUGUAAGUGUAUAAUUUGUUAAAAAAAAAAAGUUAAAUGCUUUUUCUGCGUUGUUUAGUAGAAGAGUUUACACUCUGUCAUUCAUACACCUGCUCACAUUCUUUCACACACACACACACACACACACACACACACACACACACACAUGCGUCUGUUAAAUGUUAUAAUAUCAAAGUUAAUGUGAUUUAUUUGUGUACUGUCAUGCCAGAAUAGUUGGAAAAAAACCUAACUAAUUGUAAAUUUAUUGUAUGUGUUUUCGUAUAUUUUUAUACAAUAUAUACAAUUGAACAAAGUCCAAUUUGAUCUUAAGUUAUAUUCAUCAAAUGUUCAAUGCUUUGUUUAUGAACUCUGUAGCUGUUAAUGCCAUCCUUUUCUGCAUUUCUUCUAACAUGUUACUUUUUGACUUUUCUCUUGUUUUUAAUAAAUAUUUUCCUUUUGGUAAUUAUUA